rnacentral:rRNA from 1 species
GAAGGCAUUCUGCCAAGAACGUUUUCAUUAAUCAAGAACGAAAGUUAGGGGAUCGAAACAUGAUCAGAUACCGUCGUACUCUUAACCAUAAACUAUGCCGACUAGGGAUCGGGUGUUGUUCUUUUNNGNGACUCACUCGGCACCUUACGAGANNUCAAAGUCUUUGGGUUCUGGGGGGAGUAUGGUCGCAAGGCUGAAACUUAAAGGAAUUGACGGAAGGGCACCACCAGGAGUGGAGCCUGCGGCUUAAUUNNACUCAACACGGGGAAACUCACCAGGUCCAGACACAAUAAGGAUUGACAGAUUGAGAGCUCUUUCUUGAUUUUGUGGGUGGUGGUGCAUGGCCGUUCUUAGUUGGUGGAGUGAUUUGUCUGCNCUAAUUCCGAUAACGAACGAGACCUUAACCUACUAAAUAGUGGUACUAGCUUUUGCUGGUUUUCCACUUCUUACAGGGACUAUCUAUUUCAAGUANAUGGAAAUUUGAGGCAAUAACANGUCUGUGAUGCCCUUAGACGUUCUGGGCCGCACGCGCGCUACACUGACGGAGCCAGCGAGUUUUAUCCCUGNGCCGAGAGGUCCUGGUAAAUCUUGUGAAACUCCCCUCGUGUUGGGGAAUAAAANNAUUUGCCAAUUAUUGCCUCCUUCCAACGAGGAAAUUCCUUAG